rnacentral:lncRNA from 1 species
CCAGGAUGUACGUCCUGGAGGUGGAGAACGAACGGGGGAUCUCAUCGCAUGCCGUCACUUUGACUAUACAUGAGACGGCGUAUGUGGCGCCGAUCAUAGCAGCCGCUCUGGUCAUCGCCGCUCUUCUGGUCAUACUGCUCUGUCUCAUCAUCAAGUGUCGCCGGCGGAGAGAGAGCGUUGAAUACAAGACUGAUGAUUUAGAUAGGUAAGUGAGGU